UAUUGGUGUUUUGCCUGCGUGCAUGUCUGU
rnacentral:piRNA from 1 species